UACGGGGGGGGCAAGCGUUGUUCGGAAUUACUGGGCGUAAAGGGCGCGUAGGCGGCCUGCUAAGUCGGACGUGAAAUCCCUCGGCUCAACCGGGGAACUGCGUCCGAUACUGGCGAGGCUUGAAUCCGGGAGAGGGAUGUGGAAUUCCAGGUGUAGCGGUGAAAUGCGUAGAUAUCGGAAGGAACACCAGUGGCGAAAGCGGCUUCCUGGUCCAGCACCGACGUUCAGGCACGAAAGCGUGGGGAGCAAACAGG
rnacentral:rRNA from 1 species